rnacentral:rRNA from 1 species
AUGGCCACCGUUGCAGCUCCGGUCGCGACGACCGGAGCUCACCGGCGUGCUCACCGGUGUGCUCGCCGGCGCUCAUCCCCUGCUUGCGAACAAAAAAGAUCGAGCGCCCAGGGAGAUGCUCAGUGCUGCAACCUACGACGAAAAAAGGUACAACUAGCGAUAGGAAAAGCUUCAACCGGCUACGAAAAAAGCUUCAACCAGUAUACGACUGGAGCUAUGGAUGACCAAGAAAAGUUACAACCAGUGACAGAGAAAGCUUCAUCUAGCGAUGAAAAAAGUUUCAACCGUGGAAACAAAAGCCAUGGACGAAAAGUUACAACCGGUGACAAAAAAAGCUUCAUCUAG